UUUGUAUUUAUAUAUAUAUGUAUAUAUGUAUUUAUAUGUAUUUAUAUACAUAUAAAUACAUAUAUACAUGUUUAUGUGUAUUAUCUGUUAGUGAGCAGGGCUAUGAUGAGGGGCUCAGCACUCUCGGGAUGGUCUCUGGACUCUUCGGGGCGUUUUGGUCUUUGGGGAUGUUUUACGGGCCGAUAGUGGGGGGGCUGGUCACACAGCACCUGAGCUUUGAGUGGGCCGCGGCCGUCCAGGGAGGCACCGCGCUUCUGGCUGCCUUCCUGCUCGCUGUGUACUACCUGAGUCACCCCCCCCCACAGCCAAGGUAAGAAACACUGAUGUUCAUGUGUCUUUGACAUCGCUGUCGUAAAUAUAAUAAUACUUUCUAGCCCCAC
rnacentral:lncRNA from 1 species